rnacentral:rRNA from 1 species
CAAGUCGAGCGAGAGGAAGUAGCAAUACUUUAGUACAGCGGCGCACGGGUGAGUAACACGUGGAUAACCUGCCUUGAAGUGGGGAAUAACCCCGGGAAACCGGAGCUAAUACCGCAUAAUCUGACGAAGUCUGCGGAUUUUGUCAGCAAAGGAGCAAUUCGCUUUAAGAGGGGUCCGCGGCUGAUUAGCUAGUUGGUGAGGUAAUGGCUCACCAAGGCCACGAUCAGUAGCCGGUCUGAGAGGACGGUCGGCCACACUGGAACUGAGACACGGUCCAGACUCCUACGGGAGGCAGCAGUGGGGAAUUUUUCGCAAUGGGGGCAACCCUGACGAAGCAACGCCGCGUGGGUGAUGAAGUAUUUCGGUACGUAAAACCCUUUCGACGGGGACGAAACCGCAAGGUUGACGGUACCCGUAGAAGAAGCCCCGGCUAACUCCGUGCCAGCAGCCGCGGUAAUACGGGGGGGGCAAGCGUUGUUCGGAAUUACUGGGCGUAAAGGGCGCGUAGGCGGUUUGCUAAGUUGGAUGUGAAAACUCUGGGCUUAACCCAGAGCCUGCAUCCAAAACUGGCAAACUUGAGUACUGGAGGGGAAAGCGGAAUUCCUGGUGUAGCGGUGAAAUGCGUAGAUAUCAGGAGGAACACCGGUGGCGAAGGCGGCUUUCUGGACAGUAACUGACGCUGAGGCGCGAAAGCUAGGGGAGCAAACAGGAUUAGAUACCCUGGUAGUCCUAGCCCUAAACGAUGGAUACUUGGUGUGAAGGGGGAAUUGAAUCCCUUCGUGCCGUAGCUAACGCAAUAAGUAUCCCGCCUGGGGAGUACGGUCGCAAGGCUGAAACUCAAAGGGAAUUGACGGGGGCCCGCACAAGCGGUGGAGUAUGUGGUUUAAUUCGACGCA